UUCCUGAUAACUCAGCUGUAAAGAAUCUGCCUGCAAUGCAGGAGACCUGGGUUUGAUCCCAAGUUGGGAAG
rnacentral:tRNA from 1 species